AAGAUGCUAUGCCUAGAAUUCUGUGUA
rnacentral:piRNA from 1 species